CUUUUGCUCAAUCAAACAUUGUUUGCUCAUCUUCAUAAGACUGCGCUUCGACAUCUGUACUCUGCACGUCUUGAUUCCUCACAACAAUUUUGUGGACACUUUGAUAGAACUAGAGUUCAGGGGUACACAAAAGAAGACUCGAAGUAGACACAUUCCCUAUAUCAAAAAGUUUUACCUUACCUCUUUUGUUACUUCACACAUUGACGACUUCCAUUAUAUGAUUGCCAGAAUCAUCCUUGGGAAAGAAAUUUGCCAAGAUGGAGACUAAUGCUUAAACUUGAACUAUUUUUGUGUUUUCUAUUGCCAGUCAAGUAUAUUUAGCUUCAUUUCUCUUAACACUUUGAUUUCCUCGAGCAGUGGAUGGAAUUCGGCGAGACAAAUUGAUGGUCAGAGUUGAAGAGAAGAAGCUUAGAUGAAAUGAAAAACAGACAUAGAUGUGAAGAUUUCCUGCAUCUUAGUAAGAUGAGAAUAGACAGACUCAAGGAAUGGGUUGACAGAAACCUCCAACAAGAGCUCCUCGGAUGAAAACUAAGGAUCCCUAUCUUUGCAUAUGAAUAAGUUGAUCUUUUGGACUUAUGGUGGCAAAAUUGUGAAUGUUACCUAUCACUUGUGUCAAAAAAUUGUCAAGGAACCGAGGCAAGGUAUUACACAAAGCUUCAGAAGUUGAUGACUCCCCUGAAAUUGGUGAUCUUGAAGAGGAAGCGAAGCUGCUAUGAGAUAUUGCUAUAAGUUAAACCUUCAACUUUCCAUUGGUUGUGAACAUCUUUGUAUAUUUCAAUUAGGCUACUUUUGGUGUACAUAAGUAAUAGCAGGCCUUCCAACUGACUUAGGAUCAUUUUCUGCUGACCUUUUUUGAAUGUUUUAAUCAACUGGAUCUGUGACUUUCCAUA